rnacentral:tRNA from 1 species
UGGAUGUAGUUUAUAAAAAUUUUAGUCUGUGAAUCUAAAGAUGAGGAUUAAUUAUCCUCUAUCCACCG